GACCCUGAGAAUAAUCUAAAAAGCAGGAC
rnacentral:piRNA from 1 species